rnacentral:rRNA from 1 species
UCAUAUGCUUGUCUCAAAGCUUAAGCCAUGCAAGUGUAAGUUCACGCCACGCAUUAGAACGGGCGAAACCGCGAAUGGCUCAGGAACCGGACCUAAUCCUCGGGACCGUAAUCCUCCUCGGAGGCGAUGGAUAACUGUGGCAAUUCUAGAGCUAAUACAUGUGACACAGGCCGCGAUCGGUCGUCGCGCCGUGGUCGCCUCGCCUCGCAAGAGCGCGCUGGCACCCGCGACGGCCGUCUUGGGUCGCGGCGCUACAUAUUAGACUGAGACCGAUGCGCGAUUUCCGYCCUCUCGUUCGCGGGUUUCGGCUCGCGUUCGGGGCUAAAGGUCGGCGCGCUCCGCUUUGGUGACUCUGGAUAACUCACUGGUCGAUCGCACGGGCUUCCACGCCCGGCGACGGGUCCCCCGAGGGUCCGCCCUAUCAACUGUCGACGGUCGGUUAAGUGCCUACCGUGGUUACUACGGGUAACGGGGAAUCGGGGUUCGAUUCCGGAGAGGGAGCAUGCGAAACGGCUACCACAUCCAAGGAAGGCAGCAGGCGCGCAAAUUACCCACUCCCGGCACGGGGAGGUAGUGACGAAAAAUAACGACGCGGGACUCUGUCGAGGCCCCGCGAUCGGAAUGAGUACACUUCAAAUCCGUUAACGAGGACCAACCGGAGGGCAAGUCUGGUGCCAGCAGCCGCGGUAAUUCCAGCUCCGGUAGCGUAUAUUAAAGUUGUUGCGGUUAAAAAGCUCGUAGUCCGAACUCGGGUUCGUGGUCGCUCACGCGGCCCCGGGGCGGCGGCGCCAUCGUCCAUCGUUGACUUUGGUCGUCCGUUCGCAUUCCCGGCCCUUUCCGCCGGUGUCGAUCGCUACAUAGACGGCCGCGGGGUCCGGCUGGUGGUGGGCGCGGCGAGUGUGUUCGUCCGGUYUCGUGCGCGGCCGCUCGCGCCGGGGUCUCUUCGCGGGGACUCUCGGUGUCGUGUCGGUUGUGCGCGGUUCCGUUCGCGCGCGCGCGUCCGGGCUCUCGGGCUCCCCAUCCGCCUAGCCAACCCGCGUCGCCGUCGGCGAUUUCUCCUCCAAGGGUGCUCUUAACCGAGUGUCCGCGGCGGCCGGUACGUUCACUUUGAAAAAAUUAGAGUGCUCAGAGCGGGCUGUUCAAGCUUGCAUACGAUAAGCAUGGAAUGAUGGAAGAGGGCCUCGUCUACGUCUGUCGGUCUCCGUCUACGGCGAGGCAAUGAUCGAAGGGAGCGGUCGGGGCCACUCGUAUUGCGACGUUAGAGGUGAAAUUCUUGGAUCGUCGCAAGACGAACUGCAGCGAUGGCGUGUGGCAAGCACGUUUUCCUCGAUCAAGAGCGAAAGUCGGAGGUUCGAAGACGAUCAGAUACCGUCGUAGUUCCGACCGUAAACGAUGCCGACCGGCGAUCCGCCGGCGUUCGCUUCCAUGACCCGGCGGGUAGCCUGCGGGAAACCAGAGUUCGGUUCCGGGGGGAGUAUGGUUGCAAAGCUGAAACUUAAAGGAAUUGACGGAAGGGCACCACCAGGAGUGGAGCCUGCGGCUUAAUUUGACUCAACACGGGAAAACUCACCCGGUCCGGACACCGGUAGGAUUGACAGAUCGAUAGCUCUUUCUCGAUUCGGUGGGUGGUGGUGCAUGGCCGUUCUUAGUUGGUGGAGCGAUCCGUCUGGUUGAUUCCGAUAACGAACGAGACUCCGGCCUGCUAACUAGUGCGCCGAUGUGAGUGCGGCCCUUCGUUGGUCGUGUGCGGGCUGCUGGGUGGCGGUCGUCGUCGUCGGUGAUUUUUGAUCGUCGUCGCGCGCGUCGCCAUCUCGUGUCCGGGUCGGUUUCUCACGCACUUCUUAGAGGGACGGGUGGCAGAAAGCCACACGAGGCGGAGCGAUAACAGGUCUGUGAUGCCCUUAGAUGUCCGGGGCCGCACGCGCGCUACACUGGAGGUAUCAGCGGGGACUUCGCCCCGGCCCGAGAGGGUCGGGAAACCUCUCAACCACCUCCCGUGAUAGGGAUCGGGGCCUGUAACCAACCCCGUGAACGAGGAAUUCCCGGUAGGCGCGGGUCAACAGCCCGCGUCGAUCACGUCCCUGCCCUUUGUACACACCGCCCGUCGCUACUACCGAUCGAACGGUCCGGUGAGGUCCUCGGAUCUGGCCGACGACGCCGCCGGGCGAAGGCCUUCGCGGGUCCCGCCUCGGCGUUCGAUGCCUGGAGAAGACGACCGAACCCGAUCGUUUAGAGGAAGUAAAAGUCGUAACAAGGUUUCC